rnacentral:rRNA from 1 species
GAGUUUGAUUCAUGGCUCAGAUUGAACGCUGGCGGCAUGCCUUACACAUGCAAGUYGAACGGCAGCAUGAUCUAGCUUGCUAGAUUGAUGGCGAGUGGCGAACGGGUGAGUAAUACAUCGGAACGUGCCCUGUAGUGGGGGAUAACUAGUCGAAAGAUUAGCUAAUACCGCAUACGACCUGAGGGUGAAAGUGGGGGACCGCAAGGCCUCAUGCUAUAGGAGCGGCCGAUGUCUGAUUAGCUAGUUGGUGGGGUAAAGGCCCACCAAGGCGACGAUCAGUAGCUGGUCUGAGAGGACGAUCAGCCACACUGGGACUGAGACACGGCCCAGACUCCUACGGGAGGCAGCAGUGGGGAAUUUUGGACAAUGGGCGAAAGCCUGAUCCAGCAAUGCCGCGUGUGUGAAGAAGGCCUUCGGGUUGUAAAGCACUUUUGUCCGGAAAGAAAUGGCUCUGGUUAAUACCUGGGGUCGAUGACGUACCGAGAUUU